GGAUCCUCGCCCAGCUAGAAUGGCAGCAGCGAGAAUGGCGAGGCUGCGGAGGAAGGAGAGGAAUCAGAUGGUCUGAGAGGCGUCUGGCUCGUCGAGGAAUAGUUCCUCAGGCACAAGGAAAGCACUAUGGAGGCAAUCGACCACGAUGCCGAGCAUGAGAACGGAGAUGAAGGUGGAGCUGACGCUAGUGAUGAACACGACGAAGACGAGUAUUUUGCUGGAGAGAAAGAAAGUGUUUUGCAAGUAAGUUCAUGUUUUGCAAAAGGUGCAAUGGUGCUUAUCAUUGUUCGGUCUGCAACCUCCUCAUAAGUUCAAUUUUGAAAUGCUAGAGUGGGAGGGCAAGGAUUUCUUAAAAGAUGUUCUGUAUCCAAUCUAAGGCCUAUAAACGUGAAGGUUGAAUAUUUCAUUUUUCAGGUGUUUCUGCUGUAGUCCAGGGAGAAAAUAAUGACAACUGCAAGGAAAGAGAAAAAGAGAGAGAGGCUCGAAGAGAAGAGAAGCCUAAGAAAGCAACUUUGUUGGAAAAGCUUGAAGAUGGGAUU